UACGAAGGGGGCUAGCGUUGCUCGGAAUCACUGGGCGUAAAGGGUGCGUAGGCGGGUCUUUUAAGUCAGGGGUGAAAUCCUGGAGCUCAACUCCAGAACUGCCUUGAUACUGAAGAUCUUGAGUUCGGGAGAGGUGAGUGGAACUGCGAGUGUAGAGGUGAAAUUCGUAGAUAUUCGCAAGAACACCAGUGGCGAAGGCGCUCACUGGCCCGAUACUGACGCUGAGGCACGAA
rnacentral:rRNA from 1 species